rnacentral:rRNA from 1 species
CCUACGGGUGGCUGCAGUGGGGAAUAUUGGACAAUGGGCGAAAGCCUGAUCCAGCCAUGCCGCGUGUGUGAAGAAGGCCUUCGGGUUGUAAAGCACUUUCAGUGGGGAAGAAAGCCUUGGGGCUAAUACCCUCGAUGAAGGACAUCACCCACAGAAGAAGCACCGGCUAACUCCGUGCCAGCAGCCGCGGUAAUACGGAGGGUGCGAGCGUUAAUCGGAAUUACUGGGCGUAAAGCGCGCGUAGGCGGUCUGAUAAGCCGGUUGUGAAAGCCCCGGGCUCAACCUGGGAACGGCAUCCCGAACUGUCAGGCUAGAGUGCAGGAGAGGAAGGUAGAAUUCCCGGUGUAGCGGUGAAAUGCGUAGAGAUCGGGAGGAAUACCAGUGGCGAAGGCGGCCUUCUGGACUGACACUGACGCUGAGGUGCGAAAGCGUGGGUAGCAAACAGGAUUAGAUACCCCAGUAGUC